UACAGAGGUCCCGAGCGUUGUUCGGAUUCACUGGGCGUAAAGGGUGCGUAGGUGGUGAGGUAAGUCGGAUGUGAAAUCUCGGAGCUUAACUCCGAAACGGCAUUGGAAACUACCUUGCUUGAGGAUUGGAAGGGGGACUGGAAUACUUGGUGUAGCAGUGAAAUGCGUAGAUAUCAAGUGGAACACCAGUGGCGAAGGCGAGUCCCUGGACAAUACCUGACACUGAGGCACGAAAGCUAGGGGAGCAAACAGG
rnacentral:rRNA from 1 species